AUAAACUCGGAAGCCCAACGAACUGCAAAGCCUAAACCGCAUGAAAAACAUGGAUGUUUGCAACUUCCCAUUACUACAUUAGAACCCACUGGGAGUGGCAUCUAGCAAGCGGCAAACAAAUGUCUUUACCCCUUUGACCCAAGUCAAAACGCUGCUGGUCUGUUUGUUUGCCGAGAAAACCGAGGAAAAGAGAAGAAGAAACCGUCUCUUUAAUUUUUAUUUUGUUCCUUUUUCCACUGUUUUUCCGGCACCCAAAUGCAGCGCCAGUACUCAAGCAUCCCAAGAACCGUAUUCGAGCUAUUCUUUUUCCAUACGUGGCUAAUUCUGUUCCUUAAUUAUCAGGUUCUGUUUGAGUUUCUUUAUUGCCGAAUAGAUUCAUGUUUGGAAAACUUACUAGCUAUUUUUCUUUUGCCCCAAUAUCAAGAAUUAAAAGCAUAGCUUUAUAUAGUUGUUAAUGUAUUUCAUUAAUUAAAAUGUGCUUUUUCUUUGUAUUUGCCUUGGAUAAUGUAUCCGGUUCCUAGCGUUGGACUUUCAGUCUUGCUCGUUUCUUGUAUUACCCUGAGCAUAGGACACCAGAGAAAGACUCAGCUUGCAUGAAUUCGAAGAUUUUAUAAUCUAUAAUAAUUUUCCUUUUUCUUAGGUUGCUUAGUGAAUUCUUAUAUACAAAAUUAAACAUACUGAUGGUUGAAAACAAGAUGAAAUGAGAAACUGUAUAUGCAUCUUGUGCAUGCUAGAAGUCACAUAACACUUUUGCAGCUUACAUUUAUUUUUCUUCAAAGGAUGGUCAUGUACACUUAAAACUGACCUCAUUAGCUUUGGCAUCAUCAAUUUCUGCAGAUCUCUGUUUAAAAUUUAUGUUAUGAAAUAAGAUUUAUUUCUCAAAUAUUCUUGAUUCAUAAUGUGAAUCAACCAAAGGACAGUUUCCCUGCAUUUUGAGUUGUAAUCCCCUUAUCAAAACAUUUGUUAACAUAUGACUAAGGUGUGGAUGUAACAGAUUGCCAUUCAGUUUUUUAGUUUAGGUUGAGGGAAAAUGUCAAUUUUGUAUUAAUUGAGUUUCUUGAAUAGCAGUCUGCUGCCUAUGGGUUGUUCUGGUAUUAGGAUCCAUAGCAGCAAAGUCUAAAUGUUUCAAAUAUGGAGCAGAGAUGAGAUGACCGGCAAAGCUGGUGAAAACGGAUGACAGAAUGCCUUAACAGAUGGCAGAAACUUUCUUAUUUGGAGCAAGAAAUUCAAAUGGAUUUACAUAAAUCUAUGUUGUGUAUUUGCUUUGUGCACAAGUGUUUCUUGGUAUGUGUUUCUAUUCUUUAAUUUUGACCAACUUAGGUAAUUUUUGUUAGUGAACUUGCUUAUAUUAAUAUUUGUAUCAUCUGGCAGAGUUCGAUUAAAUUGCCUUCCCUUGUUGAUGAAUGGAGCUAGAUACAGGUCACUUGGUAUACUCUUUCACUUCCACAACCAUUUGGUAGGGUUGAGGUAGCUGGCUUUUCAGUUGAUUGCUGGGUUAAAGGGUUCAUGUAAAUUGACCUUUUUUUUUCCCCCUUGAUGAAUGGAGCUAGAUACAGGUAUGAUGCUGAGCUUGUUAAUCUUUAUUGGAACACCAUCUUCAUAAACUAUAAAAGUACAUCUGAAUAGCAUAUCUGAUAUUCUAAAAAAAAAAAUAUGGAAAUGGGGCAUUCCGAGAAUUGAACUCGGGACCUCUCGCACCCUAAGCGAGAAUCAUGCCACUAGACCAAAUGCCCAACUACUGAUGUUAUUUUCUUUAAUAAUUCUUAAUUUCAUUUCCCAUUUAUUGGAAUUGAUGAGAUUCCAUUUUAAGGGGGAGUCUUAUGGAAAGUCAAUAUUUUCUUCUCUAGGUAAUGAUGAAAAAUGUGCUUAGAAAAUGUAAGCUUAGGUAGUUGGAUACACAUAGAUUUUGGUUAACAAUGGAUCUGAGUGCUCAUGCGUGGUCAUUUGUGGUUCCUUUUUCUAGCUUGCUCUGCCUGCCGCAAAAACUCAUGAUGAAUAGCACAUUUAGUUUGUUGCUUUUCUUUGAUCUUUAUAUGCCAGGUUUCAUGUCACUUGUUGCAUUCUGUGAUCUCUACAACCAUUUUGCUCUGCUGGGUAACAAUUAUGUUUCUAAAUUAUUUUAAUUUUAUCAGUUAGGACUCUAGAGUAGAGACUUGUAGUUAUUCAGUUGACUUUAUGGUGGCCAAAUUUGAAACAGAAUAAGGAAAAGCUAAAUCUAUGUGGUUUGACUACAGAGGAAAAAUUUUAAUCUCAGUAUUUGGAAAUCCAAAACAAGAUGGGGCAUUCCGAGAAUCGAACUCGGGACCUCUCGCACCCAAAGCGAGAAUCAUACCACUAGACCAAAUGCCCUUUUUUCAAAAGAAUCUAUAAUGAAUACUUUAAUAUUAUAGACCCUUUUUUUUAUGAUUUAUAUUCCCCCAAACUGACCAUUGAAUUUAUUGCUAUGUUGAUGUAUGCUAUGCAUGCCAAAUAUGAAAUUAAUAAGAUAUUUGGCACACAUGAUUAAAUAAAUAAGCUAUUUAAAAUAAAUAUUGUGCAAGAGUUAGGGGACCACGUGAAAAAUGGGAUACUUCUUUGUUGGUAAUUCUUUAAUUUUGUGCCGCUAAGAUUCUAAGAAGGUAGCUAAAAGAGAGGAAAAGAUAUGGGGCAUUCCGAGAAUUGAACUCGGGACCUCUCGCACCCUAAGCGAGAAUCAUACCACUAGACCAAAUGCCCGAUAGCUGAGAUUAUCUUCCUUGGUGAUUUUUUAAUUGUCUAUUAUUUCCAUCACCAUAUUAAAUGGAGCAUAUAUGGUUUCUGUAUUUUAUUGUUGAUGCUCUUUGUCCACCUAAAAAUCAAUAUCUACUGUCAUUUAUUUUUAAAAUUGACUCCAUGGAAUUUUGUCAGAAAACUAAAAUAUUUAAUUGUGUUGUAGCUUUUCUGUUUUAUUUAGAUUUUAAUUCCUCUGCUAUGAAUUGAAAUCAUUUGCUGGGAAAAGGUGGUAAUCUUUGGGUUGGGAUCAUUCGUGUCUUUUUUUCAAGUGAUUUUGAGUUUUGAGCUACCUCUAGAUCUCAAACAAACUGGGGUCAUACAAUGUCAACUUAAAUUUGAUUGGGUUAUUCAUAUUGCAUGUGAAAUUGUUAUUUCAUUAAAAAAAAAACAUAAUUGUUAUUAUCAUUUAUGUCAAUUGAAAAACAAAUAGGGGCAUUCCGAGAAUCGAACUCGGGACCUCUCGCACCCAAAGCGAGAAUCAUACCACUAGACCAAAU